GAUGAACGCUGGCGGCGUGCCUAAUACAUGCAAGUCGAGCGAACGGACGAGAAGCUUGCUUCUCUGAUGUUAGCGGCGGACGGGUGAGUAACACGUGGAUAACCUACCUAUAAGACUGGGAUAACUUCGGGAAACCGGAGCUAAUACCGGAUAAUAUUCUGCACCGCAUGGUUCAAAAGUGAAAGACGGUCUUGCUGUCACUUAUAGCUGGAUCCGCGCUGCAUUAGCUAGUUGGUAAGGUAACGGCUUACCAAGGCAACGAUGCAUAGCCGACCUGAGAGGGUGAUAGGCCACACUGGAACGGAGACACGGUCCAGACGCCUACGGGAGGCAGCAGUAGGGAAUCUUCCGCAAUGGGCGGAAGCCUGACGUAGCAACGCCGCGUGAGUGAUGAAGGUCUUCGGAUCGUAAAAAUCUGUUAUGAGGGAAGAACAUAUGUGGAAGUAACUGUGCACAUCGUGACGGUACCUAAUCAGAAAGCCACGGCUAACUACGUG
rnacentral:rRNA from 1 species